rnacentral:tRNA from 1 species
GCCAAUCUGGUGUAGUGGUUAGGACACUAGGUUAGGAACCAAGACAGUGUGAGUUCUAAUCUCACCUUAGACA